rfam:Pelodiscus sinensis unplaced genomic scaffold scaffold607, whole genome shotgun sequence.
GGAUUGCUCAGUGGUUUGAGCAUUGGUCUGCUAAACCCAGGGUUUUGAGUUCAAUCCUUAAGGGAUCUG